AUUGAACGCUGGCGGCAGGCCUAACACAUGCAAGUCGAACGGUAACAGGAAGCAGCUUGCUGCUUCGCUGACGAGUGGCGGACGGGUGAGUAAUGUCUGGGAAACUGCCUGAUGGAGGGGGAUAACUACUGGAAACGGUAGCUAAUACCGCAUAACGUCGCAAGACCAAAGAGGGGGACCUUAGGGCCUCUUGCCAUCGGAUGUGCCCAGAUGGGAUUAGCUAGUAGGUGGGGUAACGGCUCACCUAGGCGACGAUCCCUAGCUGGUCUGAGAGGAUGACCAGACACACUGGAACUGAGACACGGUCCAGACUCCUACGGGAGGCAGCAGUGGGGAAUAUUGCACAAUGGGCGCAAGCCUGAUGCAGCCAUGCCGCGUGUAUGAAGAAGGCCUUCGGGUUGUAAAGUACUUUCAGCGGGGAGGAAGGGAGUAAAGUUAAUACCUUUGCUCAUUGACGUUACCCGCAGAAGAAGCACCGGCUAACUCCGUG
rnacentral:rRNA from 1 species